rnacentral:misc_RNA from 1 species
AUGGAUUCUUCUUCAAUCUCUAAGAGAAGACUUAAAAUCAAGAGGCUAUAAGUAUAUUGAGGUCCUGAAUGGAAUCGCAUGGGACAGAGACGGUGACCGUAUUUUUGUGACAGGGAAACUAUGGCCAAAGAUAUUCGAGAUCAAGUUGCUCCCCCUCCCACCAAGUGCUCCAUUAAUUCGAGAAAUCAAAAACUUGUGCAUGCCAACACCAUUCUAUCUUGGAAAUUUGGAGAGCUGAUGAUGUUUAUCAUUUCUCAUGUAAACAUUUGGAGCUGUUUUUUGCAGCAACAUCCAUAUCUUGAUCACCUCAUCCUAUAUUUUACUUCCAUUGCUAUGUAUAACAUCAGCUACUUAUGCAUAUUGCAA